AUCAGCAGCCACAUCACCCUGCAACUCACAACUGGCAACCCACACUGAAGCUAAGCAGGUGUGAGCUUGGUCAGCUUGGUUGGGAGACCUCCUGGGAAAAACUAAGGUUGCUGCUGGAA
rnacentral:rRNA from 1 species